UUCACUCUCUUUCUAUAUAUCUGUUCUCUCUUCUCCAAAGUAAUUUGAUGAUUUCCUCAAGUUUUUGCCAUAAUCUUAUCGUUUGUGGUUGGGGGCCAUUUGCAUAUCCCAUCUGCAAAUCAGUCCCAUAUUGGCGAGUUUUAUUUGGGUCUUGGCAAUUCGAUUGCAGAUGAAACCUCCUGCCGAACGCAUGUCUAACACCAGUGAUGACGAUGAGGACGCGGGAGAUGAAGUUGUCGAAAAAAAGAUGAUAAAAAGUGUAGCUACACAUAAGAAUAUAAUGUUGUACAUUGAUGUUUUUAAAUAAUAAUAGUGUUACAUUUUGACCAAAUUGUUAGUAAUAAAAUCUUAGCAAGUGUUGCAUUAUAGUUUC